CCCAAACAAAUGAUGUGCACCAGAAAUCGUAAAUCUAACCAAGUGUGAAGUGAGUGCCAAAGAGCUUGCAUUCAUUAUUCAGAGAGUUAUACUCCAUCUUCUUUAUGAAUAAAUUAUUUUACUUUGAUAUCUAAUGCAUUAUAUGGGCACACUAACACCGGGGACAUCCAUCUGUCUCUGGCGUUUGUAAUUAAGCUGAUGAAAGACUUAGACACCUGUAAGUGUUUCUGACAGCAGCCUGUUGUGACGAGGCCUGCUGGCAGGCUGUCACACACUCCAGUGAAGGGAGAUGUUUAUUUGUAAAGCGAUAAUAUGGAUUCAGAACUCUUCAGUACUAAUGGCCUUUUUAUGUUCCUCCUCGUCUCAUCUAUUCCCACCCCUCCUUCUUUUCUCAUAUAGGUUUGUCUUUUGUCUCAUAUUCCUCUUAUCAUCUUUUCCUCUUCCUUUUUGUUCCUCUGCAGAGUAAAGCUCAAGAAAAAGAAAGCAAAGGCCAAAGGCAAGGUGAAGCCUCAGCAUGAAGGAAAGGGGAAAACACACAGGAAGAUGAAAACCCCUAAAGAGGAAAGCACGGACAAAAGCAUGGACAACGCUGACAGAAGCUCUCAGGUGAAUGUGAAGGAAGAGCCAGAGGAAGAUUCAGACUUUGUAACAAAAGGGAAAGGGAAAAAGAGGAAAAGAAAGGCAGAUAACACGGGUGGUCCCUCUUCUACCUCUGAAGUGCCUUUGUAAGUGUUUGUUUUUUCUAGGCGUAGCAAUGAAUGAAUAAGCCAAUAUCAGAUCCUGCUUGAUAUAUUUCUUAUUUAUAAAAGCAGUGGGGUAAGCUGUGGCAUUUUUUACUUAGGCAUAAAU
ensembl:lncRNA